GACUUGCCACGUCGUCAAUUAACAGUCAAAUUGAUGAAUUUUAUUUACGGAGAUCUGAUAUUGCAAUUAAUUUGUAAGUUAACAUAUGACAUUGCAAUGACCAAAAUAUGGGGUAUGAGUUUAUUACAUGACUUUAAAUUGAGGUGGUAAAACCUAAUUUACCCAACUUGCAAGUGUGAAAAUGUGAAGAAAAAAAAAAUGCAAAUGCUCAUGAUCGCAUCAUCUACGCUUUGAUGAUAGGCAUCUCGUCGUUUGGAUUUUUAAACUCUAUAACUCUUUUGAACAAUAUUUUUUUUUAUAGUUCAAAAUAAAUAAAAAUUCAUAAUAUUUGAUGUAAAAUUGUGAAAAAUGUAAGGUAAAUUACACAAAACCACCUCAAAUAUGGAUCGUACCACAAUCGCAUCUCUCAUAUUUGAAACAUUGCAAUGUCUUACCUUUGUUAAAUUUUCUAUCAGUUUGAACGUUAAAUGAUGACAUGGCAGGUGCUGGCCCACUUCCUCACCCAAGAUUGAAAAAUUAAUUGAUAAGUUAAAAAAAUU